rnacentral:rRNA from 1 species
GAUGAACGCUGGCGGCGUGCCUAAUACAUGCAAGUCGAGCGAACAGAUGAGGAGCUUGCUCCUCUGACGUUAGCGGCGGACGGGUGAGUAACACGUGGAUAACCUACCUAUAAGACUGGGAUAACUUCGGGAAACCGGAGCUAAUACCGGAUAAUAUAUUGAACCGCAUGGUUCAAUAGUGAAAGACGGUUUUGCUGUCACUUAUAGAUGGAUCCGCGCCUCAUUAGCUAGUUGGUAGGGUAACGGCUUACCAAGGCAACGAUCCGUAGCCGACCUGAGAGGGCGAUCGGCCACACUGGAACUGAGACACGGCCCAGACUCCUACGGGAGGCAGCAGUAGGGAAUCUUCCGCAAUGGGCGAAAGCCUGACGGAGCAACGCCGCGUGAGUGAUGAAGGUCUUCGGAUCGUAAAACUCUGUUAUUAGGGAAGAACAAAUGUGUAAGUAACUAGGCACGUCUUGACGGUACCUAAUCAGAAAGCCACGGCUAACUACGUG